GACGAACGCUGGCGGCGUGCUUAACACAUGCAAGUCGAGCGGUAAGGCCCUUUCGGGGGUACACGAGCGGCGAACGGGUGAGUAACACGUGGGUGACCUGCCCUUAGCUCUGGGAUAAGCCUGGGAAACUGGGUCUAAUACCGGAUAUGACUCCAUGACGCAUGUUGUGGGGUGGAAAGCCUUGUGCGGCUGGAGAUGGGCCCGCGGCCUAUCAGCUUGUUGGUGGGGUGAUGGCCACCAAGGCGACGACGGGUAGCCGGCCUGAGAGGGCGACCGGCCACACUGGGACUGAGACACGGCCCAGACUCCUACGGGAGGCAGCAGUGGGGAAUCUUGCGCAAUGGGCGAAAGCCUGACGCAGCGACGCCGCGUGAGGGAUGACGGCCUCGGUU
rnacentral:rRNA from 1 species